rnacentral:rRNA from 1 species
UUUGUACACACCGCCCGUCACACCAUGGGAGUGGGUUGUACCAGAAGUAGAUAGCUUAACCGAGAGGGGGGCGUUUACCACGGUAUGAUUCAUGACUGGGGUGAAGUCGUAACAAGGUAACCGUAGGGGAACCUGCGGUUGGAUCACCUCCUUA